AUGAGAGGGAGAGAGACAAGGAAGGAGCGGAGGGAGAAAGAGAGAGGAAAGAGUAGCCGGAGGUGCGUCGGCCGGCGUCGGCGUGCACGCUGGCGAGGUUGGGCGGGACCUGGCGGUUGGCGGCGGCUCGAUCCACUCCUAGAUCGGGAGCCGAGCCUGCGCCUCCGCCACUUCCCCUUGUUUCUCUCUCCACCGCCACCUCUCCUCACCUCUCCUUCCAAUGUCGGCCGCCGCCGGCCUCCCCAUACCUCCCCCUCAUGGCUCCUCUCUUCAUCACCGGCGCCAUGGCUGUGCUCGGAGGAGGACCGCCGAUGCCAGGUUGACGAGGAUGAUGAGGUAACUGUUGGCGAGGGCAAAGCGAAGUCGUCAGAUUCGUCACCGCCGCUAUUCUCCUACUCGCCGCCGCCGCUGUUCUCCUACUCGCCGGCGCCGCCGCUGUCAUCCACAUGCUCCUCCUCACGACCACAGGUGGAAGUUGGCUGGGGUCUAGCCUCCCAUCCAUACGCAGAUUAUGCAAGUAUAUGCUUGGUCUGCAUAUUAGUACCGGCUAGCAAGCACAGGAACGACGACUUGGACCUGGCGACUUGGAUCUAA
rnacentral:rRNA from 1 species